rnacentral:piRNA from 1 species
UGCUGAUGAGUCAGAGCCAGGCCUCCCU